GAGCACGUGGCGCAAUGGUAGCGCAGUAGUCUACGGAGCUGAAGGUUGUGGGUUCAAAUCCCGCCGUGCUUG
rnacentral:tRNA from 1 species